GAUGAACGCUAGCUGCAGGCUUAACACAUGCAAGUCGAGCGACCGGCGCACGGGAGAGUAACACGUAUCCAACCUUCACUUUACUCUGAGAUAGCCUUUCGAAAGAGAGAUUAAUACCCGAUGUUAUGGAUGGGGAUGCGUUCAAUUAGGUUGUUGGUGAGGUAAAGGCUAACCAAGCCUUCGAUGGAUAGGGGUUCUGGGAGGAAGGUCCCCAACAUUGGAACUGAGACACGGUACAAAGUCCGACGGGAGGAAGAAGUGAGGAAUAUUGGUCAAUGGGCGUUAGCCUGAACCAGCCAAGUAGAGUGAAGGAUGAAGGCUUAUGGGUCGUAAACUUCUUUUAUAUAAGAAUAUGUAUUAGAUGAAUAAGGAUCGGCUAACUCCGUGCCAGCAGCCGCGGUAAUAC
rnacentral:rRNA from 1 species